GGUUGCAUGGUGUAGUGGUUAGCAUAUCUGCUUUACAUGCAGAAGAUCCUGGGUUUGAUCCCCAGUGGAGCCA
rfam:Loxodonta africana unplaced genomic scaffold scaffold_244, whole genome shotgun sequence.